rnacentral:rRNA from 1 species
UACGUAGGGUGCGAGCGUUAAUCGGAAUUACUGGGCGUAAAGCGUGCGCAGGCGGCUUCGCAAGUCAGACGUGAAAUCCCCGGGCUUAACCUGGGAAUGGCGUUUGAAACUACGGAGCUGGAGUGUGGCAGAGGGAGGUAGAAUUCCACGUGUAGCGGUGAAAUGCGUAGAUAUGUGGAGGAAUACCGAUGGCGAAGGCAGCCUCCUGGGCCAACACUGACGCUCAUGCACGAAAGCGUGGGGAGCAAACGGG